GACAGUUUGGCCGAGUGGUCUAAGGCGCCAGAUUUAGGCUCUAGUCCGAAAGGGCGUGGGAUCAAAUCCCACAGAUGUCA
rfam:Nicotiana attenuata strain TT chromosome 7, whole genome shotgun sequence.